CUGUUGUCUGACCACCAUGGCUAAAAGCUACUGCUGCACAAAUGUGCUGCAGCUAAUAACUACAACUUAUUAUAGGAUCGGGGGGAAAAAAUAUUUCUGUACAAAUCACAUUAAUUAGAAGUGCCAUGUAAACAUUUUUUUCAUGCCUCCUUUUUAAUUGUCUCACAGAUAAACUGAAUCAACAGAACUGCAUUUAUAUUGGUGCCGGAGUAGGUUUUAAUCUUUUGCUGAUCAUCAUUGUCGUCAUUGUGCUCAAGGUUAAAGGAAAAAGAAGAAACUACUAAUGGAUGAGGAGGAGCUUCCUUUGGAGUGGACCAAUAUCAAGUAUCAUCAUUCCCAUCUUUCUGCUUUCCCGAAAUAUUUUCCUCAUCACCACCAGCCAUGAGCUGAACAUCAUUCAUAUGCAUAGUUUUUGUCUCUCUUUCUGAUUUGAAGAAUGUAAUUUUGUGUUAAGUUUCUAUUUUAGAAACCACUCUGUCCUGAAACUCGAAGAGUAACACACCCUGAAAUGUAUUUAUUUAUAAAUGU